rnacentral:rRNA from 1 species
AUUGAACGCUGGCGGCAGGCCUAACACAUGCAAGUCGAACGAGUGGCGGACGGGUGAGUAAUGUCUGGGAAACUGCCUGAUGGCGGGGGAUAACUACUGGAAACGGUAGCUAAUACCGCAUACCAUCGGAUGUGCCCAGAUGGGAUUAGCUUGUUGGUGGGGUAACGGCUCACCAAGGCGACGAUCCCUAGCUGGUCUGAGAGGAUGACCAGCCACACUGGAACUGAGACACGGUCCAGACUCCUACGCGUGGCAGCAGUGGGGAAUAUUGCACAAUGGGCGCAAGCCGGAUGCAGCCAUGCCGCGUGUAUGGAGAAGGCCGUCGGGUUGUAAAGUACUUUCGGCGGGGAGGCGUUACCCGCAGAAGAAGCGCCGGCUAACCACGUGCCAGCAGCCGCGGUAAUAC